AUACCGUUUCUGACCUCUAAAUGC
rnacentral:siRNA from 1 species